CAUUUUGUAGAAGCGCCUGUCGCAUGACAAAGGAGGUUUCACAAAAUGUCUGACAAAGAAAUACAUGAUGACAUAAGAUGCAGAUGGAAGGCAAAAGGAGGAAACAAAUAUAAGCGGAAAUGCUUCUGCCACCGUUAUAUAAAUGGUGGAACGGAGCAACACGGUCGCUCUCAGUGUGAGUGGAUGAAAGAAACUGUUGGAAACCAAGUAAUACUUCGCAGAUAUUGCAGAUGCGGAAGGUACCCGUCGUCUGUUGGCCCAAAUGUCGACAAGAAUUGGUAAAAGCUACAAUAUAAAACCUGACGGGCAAGAAAAAUAUAAUGCAAUGCUGUAAACAACACGUAAUUCAGUAAUGAGAAUCAAAAGUGACAUUAAAAAAUCAUUUGCAACAAACACUGAAUGAAGAGGAUUUCAAAGCAGGAAAAAACGUUUGAAAGAGGGAAUUCUAUAAAGAAGAUUAAAGAACAAUGCAUAUAAUGAGUUCAUUAAUUUUUAUUUACAAUGACUAUACGCCAACACCUAUCAGAAUCAUUCUUAUGACGUGCUUAAACAACUAUGAAAUCUGGAUUAACUGAGAAACAAACAAUCAUUCUGAUCAACAUCAAUACGCUUAUAUAGAGAUUAUUGGGAAUAGAGAAUGCGUAGUUACUUUCACCAGGGAGGAGUCAUAUUUCUGCAUUAACUUCAUCCUGCUUUAACUUACAGAGUGCCUUUAACAAUAUUCAAAACACCUACUGACUGAUAAAAUAGAAUUGCUGAAUUGAUCUAGCAUUUAUGCAACCUAAGGAUAUUCUAUCUCCCCACUGUUUAAACUUUAUUGACCUUGGGAAAAGAUUUAAAAUAGCACAAUGUCUUUAUUCUUAUAUCAACACCUGUGCAGAUUGAUCCAGCACAAACCAGUUUAGACAAAUUAGAGCUACGGUAUUUUUAUUACAAUUUUAUUAAGAAAACCUUUUAAAGAUCAACUUAAGUGUAAUGCGCAGUUUGUUUGCUUGCUACUCUUUUUGACUGUUUCUAAUUUUCUUCGAAUCUGGUUGAAAUCUAAUGAGUUUGAACGAAUAUGUAUACAUCAUUAAACAAUGCUUAUUAAAUAUCUUAAACAACCAAAUUAAGUUAACUGAAAAUAAAUACACCUUACUAUUAAAAAAAAAUAAUUGAAUUUUAAAACUAAUGUGAUUAAAAAAAAGGUUAGGGUACACCAACAAUCAACAGGUAAGCAUAAGCAUGCGUACCCAUGAUCAUCAUCAUUAU